rnacentral:rRNA from 1 species
UCCCUACGGGAGGCAGCAGUGAGGAAUAGUGGUCAAUGGGAGAGAGCCUGAACCAGCCAAGUAGCGUGAAGGAUGACUGCCCGACGGGUUGUAAACUGCUGUUAUAAAGGAAUAAAGGGAGGCACGUGUGCCUUUUUGCAUGUACUUUAUGAAUAAGGAUCGGCUAACUCCGUGCCAGCAGCCGCGGUAAUACGGAGGAUCCGAGCGUUAUCCGGAUUUAUUGGUUUUAAAGGGAGCGUAGAUGGGUUGUUAAGUCAGUUGUGAAAGUUGGCGGCUCAACCGUAAAAUUGCAAUUGAUA